UACGUAGGGUGCGAGCGUUUGUCCGGAAUUAUUGGGCGUAAAGGGCUCGUAGGCGGCCAACUAAGUCGGAUGUGAAAUCCCCAGGCUUAACCUGGGAACUGCAUCCGAUACUGGAUGGCUUGAAUCCGGGAGAGGGAUGCAGAAUUCCAGGUGUAGCGGUGAAAUGCGUAGAUAUCUGGAGGAAUACCGGUGGCGAAGGCGGCAUCCUGGACCGGCAUUGACGCUGAUGAGCGAAAGCUAGGGGAGCAAACGGG
rnacentral:rRNA from 1 species